UUUAAAGAGAGUUUGAUCCUGGCUCAGGACGAACGCUGGCGGCGUGCCUAAUACAUGCAAGUCGAACGAACGGAGGAAGAGCUUGCUCUUCCAAAGUUAGUGGCGGACGGGUGAGUAACACGUGGGCAACCUGCCUGUAAGUUGGGGAUAACUCCGGGAAACCGGGGCUAAUACCGAAUGAUAAAGUGUGGCGCAUGCCAUGCUUUUGAAAGAUGGUUUCGGCUAUCGCUUACAGAUGGGCCCGCGGUGCAUUAGCUAGUUGGUAGGGUAAUGGCCUACCAAGGCAACGAUGCAUAGCCGACCUGAGAGGGUGAU
rnacentral:rRNA from 1 species